GAUUAUGGCUCAGGAUGAACGCUAGCGACAGGCUUAACACAUGCAAGUCGAGGGGCAACGCGAGUAGCAAUACUUGGCGGCGACCGGCGCAAGGGUGCGUAACGCGUGAGCAACAUGCCCGUAUCAGGGGGAUAAUCCAGGGAAACUUGGUCUAAUACCCCAUAGUAAUUUUGUAAGGCAUCUUAUAAGAUUUAAAGCUUUGGUGGAUACGGAUUGGCUCGCGUGACAUUAGCUGGAUGGUAAGGUAACGGCUUACCAUGGCUAUGAUGUCUAGGGGUUCUGAGAGGAAGGUCCCCCACACUGGAACUGAGACACGGUCCAGACUCCUACGGGAGGCAGCAGUGAGGAAUAUUGGACAAUGGAUGGAAAUCUGAUCCAGCCAUGCCGCGUGAAAAGGAAGAAGGUCCUAUGGAUCGUAAACUUCUUUUGUAUGGGAGCAAUAAGGCCUACGAGUAGGUUGAUGAGAGUACCAUACGAAUAAGCACCGGCUAACUCCGUGCCAGCCGCGGC
rnacentral:rRNA from 1 species